rnacentral:rRNA from 1 species
CUUUACUAUAGCCUGGAAUUGGGUUCGGGCUUUUCUUGCGCAGCCUAGGUGGGAGGCUAUGAGGAUUUCCUUCCGGGGAAGUUGGAGCCAUCAGUGAGAGACCACUCUGGAGAGGCUAGAAUCCUAAUGGUGAUCCUUGAAUCAGGACACUUGACAGUUUCAGGUGGGCAGUUUUUCUGGGGCGGAAGCCUCAUAAAGGGUAACUGAGGCGCGCAAAGGUCCCCUCAGUCUGGACGGAAAUCAGACAACGAGUGUAAAGGCAAAAGGGGGCUUGACUGCAAGACCUACAAGUCGAGCAGGAGCGAAAGCUGGCCUUAGUGAUCCGACGGUACCGUGUGGAAGGGCCGUCGCUCAACGAAUAAAGGUUA